UCCCCCGUGAGACGGUAUCUGGAGGAAGCUGGAGGCAAACACUCGGCCUGAGGGACACGAACCCAAUUCGAGGCUGUCAUGCCAGGUGGUGUGGGGGACGGGGGUAAGC
rfam:Caldibacillus debilis strain B4135 NODE_200, whole genome shotgun sequence.